rnacentral:misc_RNA from 1 species
AGUGCACCGUAAUGACCACAUGCUGGUUUAGAUAAAGGAUGAAAUUUGGUGAAGAGAUAAGAAUUGGAUUAUUAAAGCUGAUCUCUAAAAUCCACUGGGAUAAAACACUUUGAAGCAAAUAAAUAAAAGAUUUGUUCAUUUGAAAAUGAAUUCUCAUGCUUCGUCUGCAUAUGUGCAUUAUCUAUAAUUCAGUUGAACAUAUAAAACAGAGCCAACAGGACAGAGGGGGAGAGACUAAGGAGAGCUGAUAGGCUUGGGAG